rnacentral:rRNA from 1 species
CCUACGGGGUGCAGCAGUGAGGAAUAUUGGUCAAUGGCCGCAGGGCUGAACCAGCCAAGUCGCGUGAGGGAUGACGGUCCUAUGGAUUGUAAACCUCUUUUGUCAGGGAGCAAAGGGCGCCACGUGUGGCGCUUUGCGAGUACCUGAAGAAAAAGCAUCGGCUAACUCCGUGCCAGCAGCCGCGGUAAUACGGAGGAUGCGAGCGUUAUCCGGAUUUAUUGGGUUUAAAGGGUGCGCAGGCGGAAUGUCAAGUCAGCGGUAAAAUUUCGGGGCUCAACCCCGUCGUGCCGUGGAAACUGGCGUUCUUGAGUGAGCGAGAAGUAUGCGGAAUGCGUGGUGUAGCGGUGAAAUGCAUAGAUAUCACGCAGAACUCCGAUUGCGAAGGCAGCAUACCGGCGCUCAACUGACGCUCAUGCACGAAAGCGUGGGUAUCGAACAGGAUUAGAUACCCUGGUAGUC